rnacentral:rRNA from 1 species
GAUGAACGCUGACAGAAUGCUUAACACAUGCAAGUCUUUGGCGAAGCUGUGCUUGCACAGCCUAGCCAAGGCGGACGGGUGAGUAACGCGUAAGGAACUUGCCCUGCAGUCAGGGAUAACAGACGGAAACGACUGAUAAGACCUGGUAAAGUCAGGCGGACUCAUGUCCAGCCUGAUGAAAAGAGAUGCUGCAGGAGAGCCUUGCGUCCUAUUAGCUUGUUGGUGGGGUAACGGCCCACCAAGGCGAUGAUAGGUAGCCGGCCUGAGAGGGUGGACGGCCACAAGGGGACUGAGAUACGGCCGUUACUCCUACGGGAGGCAGGAGUGGGGAAUAUUGGACAAUGGGGGCAACCCUGAUCCAGAAGUUCUGUGUGCAAGAUGAAGGUUUUCGGAUUGUAAAGUGCUUUCAGCAGGGAAGAAAAAAAUGACGGUACCUGCAGAAGAAGCGACGGCUAAAUACGUG